rnacentral:rRNA from 1 species
UACAGAGGGUGCGAGCGUUAAUCGGAAUUACUGGGCGUAAAGCGUGCGUAGACGGUUAUUUAAGUCGGGUGUGAAAGCCCCGGGCUCAACCUGGGAAUUGCAUUCGAGACUGAAUAGCUAGGGUACGGUAGAGGGAAGUGGAAUUCCGGUGUAGCGGUGAAAUGCGUAGAUAUCGGAAGGAACAUCAGUGGCGAAAGCGACUUCCGUGGACCAGUACCGACGUUCAGGCACGAAAGCGUGGGGAGCAAACAGGA